UACGUAGGGACCGAGCGUUGUCCGGAUUUAUUGGGCGUAAAGAGCUCGUAGGCGGCUGUCCACGUCGGGUGUGAAAGCUCGGGGCUCAACCCUGAGAGGUCAUUCGAUACGGGACGGCUUGAGGCAGCUAGGGGAGAUUGGAAUUCCUGGUGUAGCGGUGAAAUGCGCAGAUAUCAGGAGGAACACCGGUGGCGAAGGCGGAUCUCUGGGGCUGUUCUGACGCUGAGGAGCGAAAGCUAGGGGAGCAAACGGG
rnacentral:rRNA from 1 species